AGUGAACGCUGGCGGCGUGCCUAACACAUGCAAGUCGAGCGGGCUUUUGCAGCUCAUCGCAAGAGCUAGCGGCAGACGGGUGAGUAACACGUGAGAAACCUUCCCUCGAAUGGGGAACACCCCCGAGAAAUCGGGGUUAAUACCCCAUAAGACCACAGUCCGGCAUCGGACAGAGGUCAAAGGCGUAAGUCGUUUGAGGAUGGUCUCGCGUCCUAUCAGCUAGUUGGUGAGGUAACGGCCCACCAAGGCUAUGACGGGUAUCCGGCCUGAAAGGGCGAUCGGACACACUGGAACUGAGACACGGUCCAGACUCCUACGGGAGGCAGCAGUGGGGAAUUUUGGACAAUGGGCGAAAGCCUGAUCCAGCGACGCCGCGUGGAGGAUGAAGGCCUUCGGGUUGUAAACUCCUUUUAGAGGGAACGAAUAAAUUGACGGUACUCUCAGAAAAAGCCACGGCUAACUACGUGCCAGCCGCCGCAGUAACAC
rnacentral:rRNA from 1 species